UACAGGGGGUGCAAACGUUGCUCGGAUUUACUGGGCGUAAAGGGCGCGUAGGCGGUCAGCACAAGUCAGUUGUGAAAUCUCCGGGCUUAACCCGGAAAGGUCAACUGAUACUGUGCGACUAGAGUGCGGAAGGGGCAACUGGAAUUCUCGGUGUAGCGGUGAAAUGCGUAGAUAUCGAGAGGAACACCUGCGGCGAAGGCGGGUUGCUGGGCCGACACUGACGCUGAUGCGCGAAAGCCAGGGGAGCGAACGGG
rnacentral:rRNA from 1 species